GCAGAUAAAGGUUUUAAAGCAAACAAAUGAGAAACACACCCAGCAAAGACGGCUGGGCGACCAUAAACAGGUAGAGGAACGUUUUCCAAGUUCUGCGCUUAAGGACUAAUUACGAAUCAAAUACAGGU